ACCAGAUCCUUAACCCACGAAGCGAGGCCAGGAUGGAACCUGUAUCCUCAUGGUUACUAGUUGAGUUCUUCACUUACUGAGCCACAACAGGAACUCCUGUGAUGAUAGUCUUUAAGGAGGGGGUCCCACAGUAUUUUGAGUGGCCACAGCAUGGGAGUCAGUAUGGACCCUCCACAGGUGGCCUCUACAGGUGACCGUUGCCACAGGGACCCUGUCCCACCACUAUAUCCAUUCUGGGGAAUUUUCAUCAUUGUGCUUGGGCAAGUUGUCACAUGACAAUUUAUGGACCACGGUGGCCUGUCAUGCAUUCUGUGAAUCCCCCGGGAAGACCUUACCAGAACUGGGGAGGGAAGGGGAUUUCCUAAAACCAUCAGAAACUAAGACAGACAACGUAACGGCAGAAUCUGAGGAGGACUGGGCUUCAGCUCACUGCACAUCCUGGCUUUGUUUCAGAAAAAGAGCCCUUUUGUAAAAGGAGGAAAGGCCUUUCCCGAGAGCAGCAUCUGGAAAUAGGCUGCUGUGCUCCUCUGAGCCCUGAGACUACUCUGGGGGCCGGCAGGACAUGCCCCCUCAUAGACGAGGGCAAUGUUUUGGAUCCAGAAAGAAGGCAAAGCUGAGAAAGAGCUGAAUAGGUCCUGUGUGUGUGUGUGUGUGUGUGUGUGGUACAUGUGUGCAUAUGUGUGUUGUCUGUUGUGUGUGCACACAUGUGUGUGUUGUGUGGUGUAUGUGUGUAUGGUAUGUUCAUACCGUGUGUGUGUGUGUGUGUGUGUGUGUGUGUGUGUGUGUGUGUGAUGGGUGCUGGGACAAUUCUAGCAGGAGAUAGGAGCUGCCACUGGUCAUCCUUCUCCUUUCACCUUCAGAGUCUGGGGGAACAAGUCAAUAAAGACAAGAGACAAAUGCUAUCAGCUGAAGAACCAAUGCUUUUCCCUCUCGAGGAGGAAAGACUUGUUCUCAAUGACUACACAAGACAAGAGGCUGUCUGUCAUUGGCCUUGAAUGCAUUUUCCCACGUUUGUCCUUUGUCUUUUAGAGUCUCUUUGUGGGCCUUUUGUUUGUUUUUGCCAUUGGAAAGCUUCCACUUGUACAUAGUUGAGGUUCUCAGUCUUCUGUGUGGGAUCACUGGCUGUCAUGACGUGCGCAGAAAGAUCUUCCACCCAUGGUUAUAAAAAUAUUUGUCCAGGAUCUCUUCUCCUCCUUAUGAAAUUUUGGGUUUUCCUUUAGAACCUUUAUUGGUUUUGGAAUUUAUUUAUUGUGUUUGGAAGUUAUUUUGUGUAAUGAAUGAAACAAGAGCCCUAUAAACCUUUCACACCAAUCUGUCCUUUUCUUUCACGCUAGUGCUAUUAUAGCUGAAGCAUACCGUCUGACUUUGGUUUUAAGAGCACAGCUGUGGAUGUGACUCUCCUUCCACACUCACCAUUGAUUUGAAAUACUGCCUUUUUAUCGUACAGUUGGAAUACUUUUAAAAAUGCUUCCUCCCACAAAUGCUAUAUGGAGGUUUUGGCCAGAGAUGGGAUGAUUUUCUAAAUUAUUUUGGAUGAGUGUAUAUUUGUAUUACACUAGACUGAAUAUUUCUGUCCAUGCACAAGGGGAUGCCUUUUCACUGAGUCAUGGUACUUCUAUUUCUUGAUAAUUUUGUUUUUUCCCCAUAAUUCAGAUUUAUUUGUAUAAUGUUUAUGUUUCUGUGCUUUUAAAAUGGAUUAGAUUAGGGUUAUAUUUCUAAUACAUUAUAAGAUGUGAAAACUUUCUCAACUCUCUUUUUCUCUUUUCAACACUUUUGUGCUGAAUUUUAGGCUUUCUGUUAUCUGCAAAUAAAGAUAAUUUUUGUCUUCUUUGU
rnacentral:lncRNA from 1 species